rnacentral:rRNA from 1 species
AUUGAACGCUGGCGGCAGGCCUAACACAUGCAAGUCGAGCGGCAGCGGGAAAGUAGCUUGCUACUUUUGCCGGCGAGCGGCGGACGGGUGAGUAAUGCCUGGGAAAUUGCCCAGUCGAGGGGGAUAACAGUUGGAAACGACUGCUAAUACCGCAUACGCCCUACGGGGGAAAGCAGGGGACCUUCGGGCCUUGCGCAGUUGGAUAUGCCCAGGUGGGAUUAGCUAGUUGGUGAGGUAAUGGCUCACCAAGGCGACGAUCCCUAGCUGGUCUGAGAGGAUGAUCAGCCACACUGGAACUGAGACACGGUCCAGACUCCUACGGGAGGCAGCAGUGGGGAAUAUUGCACAAUGGGGGAAACCCUGAUGCAGCCAUGCCGCGUGUGUGAAGAAGGCCUUCGGGUUGUAAAGCACUUUCAGCGAGGAGGAAAGGUUGAUGCCUAAUACGUAUCAACUGUGACGUUACUCGCAGAAGAAGCACCGGCUAACUCCGUGCCAGCCGCCGCCGUAA